GGGAGACCGUGGGCGGAGGUGAUACAACCUGACUGAUGAUGGCUGACAAAAGAAGAAGAAAGUAGCUGAGAACCAGCAGCUGAAGAAAGCAAGAAAAUAUGAGUGAAGUCACAAAUGUCACCAAGGAAAGGAAGAACAGAAAAAUAACUUGAAUAUUCAAGAUGGGCAGCCUAGUUCAACGACACAUCAAGCCUUGUGAAAAGGUGACUCCGAGGUAAGAGUUGCCUGCUCUUCCAGAGAAGCUGAGUGCCUGAGUUCAGUCCCCAGCCUGGUGACUCAUCGAACAAGUGACUGUAAUUAAUUCCAG
rnacentral:lncRNA from 1 species